rnacentral:rRNA from 1 species
CUGCAGCCCGAGUGGUGAUCGAUUUUAUUGAGCCUAAAGCGUCCGUAGCCGGACUAGUAAACCCUUGGGUAAAUUGGGCAGCUUAACUGUCCAAAUUCCGAGGGGACUGCUAGUCUUGGGACCGGGAGAGGUCAGAGGUACUCAAGGGGUAGGGGCUAAAUCCUGUAAUCCUUUGGGGACCACCAGUGGCGAAGGCGUCUGACUAGAACGGAUCCGACGGUAAGGGACGAAACCCUGGGGCACAAACCGGAUUAGAGACCCGAGUAGUCC